rnacentral:rRNA from 2 species
GGUCCCACCUGACCCCAUGCCGAACUCAGAAGUGAAACGCCGUAGCGCCGAUGGUAGUGUGGGGUCUCCCCAUGCGAGAGUAGGGAACUGCCAGACA